UGGGGAAUUUUGGACAAUGGGCGAAAGCCUGAUCCAGCAAUGCCGCGUGUGUGAAGAAGGCCUUCGGGUUGUAAAGCACUUUUGUCCGGAAAGAAAUCCUCUGGGUUAAUACCUCGGGGGGAUGACGGUACCGGAAGAAUAAGCACCGGCUAACUACGUGCCAGCAGCCGCGGUAAUACGUAGGGUGCAAGCGUUAAUCGGAAUUACUGGGCGUAAAGCGUGCGCAGGCGGUUUUGUAAGACGGAUGUGAAAUCCCCGGGGCUUAACCUGGGAACUGCAUUCGUGACUGCAAGGCUAGAGUAUGGCAGAGGGGGGUAGAAUUCCACGUGUAGCAGUGAAAUGCGUAGAGAUGUGGAGGAAUACCGAUGGCGAAGGCAGCCCCCUGGGCCAAUACUGACGCUCAUGCACGAAAGCGUGGGGAGCAAACAGGAUUAGAUACCCUGGUAGUCCACGCCCUAAAACGAUGUCAACUAGUUGUUGGGGAUUCAUUUCCUUAGUAACGUAGCUAACGCGUGAAGUUGACCGCCUGGGGAGUACGGUCGCAAGAUUAAAACUCAAAUGAAUUGACGGGGUCAUAGCUGUUUCC
rnacentral:rRNA from 1 species